rnacentral:rRNA from 1 species
GUCUUUAAGUUUAAAAUUUAAAGUCUAAUCUGCCCACUGAUAUAUAUUGAAGGGCCGCGGUAUUUUGACUGUGCAAAGGUAGCAUAAUCAUUUGUCUUUUAAUUGAAGGCUGGAAUGAAUGAUUGAAUGAAAUAUUAACUGUCUCAUUAUUAAAAUAAUAAAAAUUUAGCUUUUAAGUUAAAAGGCUUAAAUUUAUUUAAAGGACGAGAAGACCCUAUAGAUCUUUAUAUUUAUAUUUAAUUUAUAAAUUUGAUUAAUAUUAAAUAAAUAAAAUAAAAAUAUUUUGUUGGGGUGAUGGGAAAAUUUAAUAAACUUUUUUUUAUUAUAGACCAUUAAUUUAUGAAAAAUUGAUCCAUUUUUAGUGAUUAUAAGAUUAAGUUACCUUAGGGAUAACAGCGUAAUUUUUUUAAAGAGUUCAUAUCGAUAAAAAAGAUUGCGACCUCGAUGUUGAAUUAAAGGUUAUUUCUAGAUGUAGAAGUUUAGAGUUUAGGUCUGUUCGACCUUUGAAYCUUU